rnacentral:rRNA from 1 species
AUUGAACGCUGGCGGCAUGCUUUACACAUGCAAGUCGAACGGUAACAGGCCUUCGAGCGCUGACGAGUGGCGAACGGGUGAGUAAUGCAUCGGAACGUGCCCAGUCGUGGGGGAUAACGCAGCGAAAGCUGUGCUAAUACCGCAUACGAUCUGCGGAUGAAAGCGGGGGACCUUCGGGCCUCGCGCGAUUGGAGCGGCCGAUGUCAGAUUAGGUAGUUGGUGGGGUAAAGGCUCACCAAGCCAACGAUCUGUAGCUGGUCUGAGAGGACGACCAGCCACACGGGGACUGAGACACGGCCGAGACUCCUACGGGAGGCAGCAGUGGGGAAUUUUGGACAAUGGGCGCAAGCCUGAUCCAGCAAUGCCGCGUGCAGGAAGAAGGCCUUCGGGUUGUAAACUGCUUUUGUACGGAGCGAAAAGGCUCCCUCUAAUACAGGGGGCUCAUGACGGUACCGUAAGAAUAAGCACCGGCUAACUACGUGCCAGCAGCCGCCGUAACAC